rnacentral:rRNA from 1 species
AACGAACGCUGGCGGCAUGCCUAACACAUGCAAGUCGAACGAGACCUUCGGGUCUAGUGGCGCACGGGUGCGUAACGCGUGGGAACCUGCCCUUAGGUUCGGAAUAACUCCCCGAAAGGGGUGCUAAUACCGGAUAAUGUCUUCGGACCAAAGAUUUAUCGCCUUUGGAUGGGCCCGCGUUGGAUUAGCUAGUUGGUAGGGUAAAUGCCUACCAAGGCGACGAUCCAUAGCUGGUCUGAGAGGAUGAUCAGCCACACUGGGACUGAGACACGGCCCAGACUCCUACGGGAGGCAGCAGUGGGGAAUAUUGCGCAAUGGGCGAAAGCCUGAUCCAGCAAUGCCGCGUGAAUGAUGAAGGCCUUAGGGUUGUAAAGCUCUUUUACCCGGGAUGAUAAUGACGGUACCGGGAGAAGAAGCUCCGGCUAACUCCGUG